GACGAACGCUGGCGGCGUGCUUAACACAUGCAAGUCGAACGGAAAGGCCCUGCUUUUGUGGGGUGCUCGAGUGGCGAACGGGUGAGUAACACGUGAGUAACCUGCCCUUGACUUUGGGAUAACUUCAGGAAACUGGGGCUAAUACCGGCUAGGAGCUCCUGCUGCAUGGUGGGGGUUGGAAAGUUUCGGCGGUGGGGGAUGGACUCGCGGCUUAUCAGCUUGUUGGUGGGGUAGUGGCUUACCAAGGCGUUGACGGGUAGCCGGCCUGAGAGGGUGACCGGCCACAUUGGGACUGAGAUACGGCCCAGACUCCUACGGGAGGCAGCAGUGGGGAAUAUUGCACAAUGGGCGGAAGCCUGAUGCAGCAACGCCGCGUGCGGGAUGACGGCCUUCGGGUUGUAAACCGCUUUCGCCUGUGACGAAGCGUGAGUGACGGUAAUGGGUAAAGAAGCACCGGCUAACUACGUG
rnacentral:rRNA from 1 species